CUCAGAGAAGGUGAUGAUGUCCUUGAUUUUUUGCUUCUUGGCCAAUGAUGCUUCACUCAUUUGUUCAUGAGCAUCAUCCAGGCCAUUAAACUAUCCCUCAGUUAUAGUGUUAAAGACUAGCAGUGGGUCAACUAUCCAAAUUCCCUUCGAGCUGGGGUGGUUCAGGUCAGACUUUAUUUUGUUCCUAUCAAUUGCUGAGGUACUUGUCGAGCUAUCCUUACCUAAUGAGCUCCUCGAUCUCAUCCUUAAGCUAGAUGCAUUCGUCGGUGUCAUAGUUGUGGUCACAAUGGAAUAAAUAGUAUUUGUUCAAAUCACAUUGGUUCGAUAGAGCUCGCAUCUUCCUUAGCAUCGGCAAUUGUCUAUUGUCCUUGAUCUCUAUCAAGAUCUACAUCCUUGGGGCAUUUAAGAGAGUGCAAGUAGCAAAACUGCUUGGUGGGGAGCAUGACCAUCGACCCUGAGGUGGAGUCAUAGAUCAGCAUAUCUAAGGAGUUCAAGAUCGGUAUGUUUAAGGAGGAGUUCAGUAUUGGCACGAGCUCCUCCCACAUUUGUCAUCAUGUCUUGGCCC
rnacentral:lncRNA from 1 species